rnacentral:snoRNA from 1 species
AAGGCUGUUGUGAUGACUGCAUAGUUCAGCUGAUGACCUGUGACGAUCACAGUUACUGUCUUUUGCCCCUGUCUGAUGCAGCCUC